GGCUGUGUCAAUGGCGAGGAGGAAACGCCCGAUCCCAUCCCGAACUCGGAAGCUAAGCUCCUCAGCGGCAAUGGUACUGCUCUAAUAAGAGUGGGAGAGUAGCUCGACGCAGCCU
rfam:Pseudobacteriovorax antillogorgiicola strain RKEM611 genome assembly, contig: Ga0139084_155